AGGGGAUGAGGGGAAUCCAGCAUGAAGACAAGGGGGCACCUGCCUGUUCAUCAACUGGGAGUUCCAUCAUGAAAGCUAAUCGAGUAUUCGCCAAGCUAAUGAGGAACGGUUGAGCCAUACACAGAUACGUCCUGGCCCUGUCUCUCAGUUCUGGGGAAAGCCCUCCUUGAGGCAGGUUGUCCCUUAACCUUCCUGGGACAUGCGCUGUGUGGCAACCUGGAGAAGCAGACAGAGGUGUUCGAAUGAGCUCACCUGGCUGGGAAGAAAUCUAGUGGGUGGCUGUGGACCAAUUCCAUCUCAAGCUACCUGUGUCACUGCUGCCAGGCGCAGCUCACGUGGACACCAGGCUUGCUCCACAUGCAUUUUGCAUUGAGUGUUAUUUGUAUAGCUGCUACUGGGAUCAUUUGAGAACUCCAAGCUCCCAAAUCUAAAGGCAGCAGACAAAGGCGGUUUUCAUCCGGGUACAAGUACAUAAGUAUGUAUGAAGAAAAUGAAGAUACAAGAUAAAUAAUAAAGAUGAGAGGGUAAUAUGUUGGCUACCAUCUUCCAACUCCUAGACCAGGAGAUCAUAAUCUCUAUAUCUAUGCACCAGGCAGGCAGCAUGGACCUGGGACAGGCCUGGAGUAACCCAGAGAAGCACUAUAAGACUGCUAACUACAAGAUUGGACACGGCCCCGGACUUAGCUACCUUUCUAUCACUGUGACAAAACACCAUGACC
rnacentral:lncRNA from 1 species